UACGAAGGGGGCUAGCGUUGUUCGGAAUUACUGGGCGUAAAGCGCGCGUAGGUGGUUUGUUAAGUUGGAUGUGAGAUCCCCGGGCUCAACCUGGGAACUGCAUCCAAAACUGGCAAGCUAGAGUAUGGUAGAGGGUGGUGGAAUUUCCUGUGUAGCGGUGAAAUGCGUAGAUAUAGGAAGGAACACCAGUGGCGAAGGCGACCACCUGGACUGAUACUGACACUGAGGUGCGAAAGCGUGGGGAGCAAACAGG
rnacentral:rRNA from 1 species